AGUUUGACAAGCAGAUCAGCUCAGUUGUGAAAUCUUGCCUUUUCCAAUUAAGGAUUAUCUCCAAAAUUGACCCGUCUGUCUUGCAUUGCCUUAAUAUCCUCCUUGCUACUGCAAUUUUCUCUAUUUUCAUCAGAUAUGAAUCGGGUAUUGAUUAUUGUUCAAAUGUAAAAAAUAAAUAAAUAAAUAAUAAUCACUACAUUACACCAAUACUAGCCUCUUUACACUUGUUCCAAAUUCUAGAAUUCUAUUGUUUAUCUUCAAACCUCUGCAUGGUCUUUGAAAACGUCCCCCGCAGCACUGCUGGGCCCCUCAGAUCCUCCCACCAUGGACUGCUGGCUAUCCGGUCUCAGCUGAAAAAGUCUGCUGAUACGGCUUUCACCAUAGCUGCGCUGAGAAUGAAACAGUCUCCUUGAAUACAUAAGACAGAAAACCACAUCGCCAGCCUGUCAACACACACAGCCCUCUCCCUCGGCCUGCAAGCUGUCUCAGACAAACACAAAUUCUUCUAUACCUCCUUGUAACUUUUGGACAGCUAGAGGUGAUGGUGGAGCCUGGAGGGAUGGAGUCCAAAGAGGCUACUCUAACAAAAAGCUACACUCCGGGGCUUACUGCUAGAUACAACAUUUACAGCAAAAAUUGUUAGUUCCCAUCUGAAAGAUGAGGGGCUGACUACUUGAUGACUGCUAGCAAAGUGAACAGAUUCUCUGAGUCACCGUGAAUUCAACAGUCUUACCUCCCUCUCUCACUCAAGGUCCAAUGAAGGAUUUUUUGUAUAAUCCCUAAAGAAAAAGCAUAAAUAAAACUGAAAUCCUAUGACCUUGCACAUUUAAAGAAAAUUGGAACAACAUCAGCGCUUCUUCUCUCUGGAAAUGGGAAAGCCAAGAUUAACCUUCAGGUCUCACUGUGAGAAUCCACCUGGUGCUGAAUUAAAGGAAUGUCUCCUGGUGCAAAACUGUUGGCACUCUUAUGAAAUA